GUCAUUCCGUCCAAAAAAUUGGAUGAACGUUAAAUUAAAUUGUAUAUUUACAUACGUGGCAGCAAAAAAAACAAACUAUUUAGUGACUGGGAAAUGUUUUGGCAACCACUUAAUAUUUUCUUAUUAUUUCUCUCUCUUUCCAACUCUUCCUCUUUAUUUACUUAAAGAAAUUAAUAUAAAUUUAUGCAUUUAUACAAAGGGGCUUAAAUCACUCCUCCCCUGUCUUCGCCAUGGAGGCCGACGAUAGAGAAUGGGCUUCGGCUCGGUGGCUUUUUCGCCGCCAGCUUUGGUGUCUCUCCCUCCAUUUCCUCCUGUAAUUUCUCCUUCUCCCCGCCGGCUCUCAAACAAUUUUAUUGCGCCGAAUCGGCCAAUUCGAGCACAAAAACAGCUUGCUUAGAAGCCAUGGCUUGGGAUCUGUUUAGCCCCAUUCAACGAGUUCUGAUUGUAGUCGUUAUUACUGUUUCCGCCACAAAUUCGAAGAAAAAUAAGUAGAUUUUGGAGCUUCAAAAAUCUAUGGAAUUAAGGGUUGCCGUUUAUGGGUUUUGUUUAAUUUAUAUUUGUGAAGAGUGAUUUUUGCCAUGUUAUAAAUAAUGAGUACUUUUUUUAAUUUUAAUUUUAAUUUGAAAUAUUAAUUUGAAGUAUUUAUAUACAAUGGGUUGUGCUGAAUUUAUUUGUUGAUAGUAAUUGUUGCUAUUGCAGUUAAUGGGUAUGAUUUAGAUUUCAAUUUUGUCAUUAAUUGAUGCGAGCAUGAGUUUUGGGUUUUAUGGUUCAGCCUUUCCAGUUUGUUUGAUUUAUCUCUGGUUAGUAAUUAGGGCUUGUUUAUUGAUGAGAUUUGGCAUCCAUGAGUUGAUUUAGUUCAAAAUUUUGAAUGAAGUUUCUGGAUUUGAAUAUGCAUCUAGGAUUUUUUUUCAUGUUACUAGAUGAACUGAAAGUGAUGGAAAGAACCGAAAGACGAAAAUAGAAGAGGGAAAAUGACGCGGAAGAGGAAAGAGGAGAGAGAAAAGAAAGAAAAAAAGUGGGAAAGAUGAGUUAGCAUUUAGGUUUCUUUUUUUAAGCUACGUAGGAAAUGACUUGUAUUGUUUUGUUUUUUUCAAAAGCCACGUAGAAAAA
rnacentral:lncRNA from 1 species